rnacentral:misc_RNA from 1 species
AAAUCGUAAAUCCUACAAAAGUUCUAGAAAACAAUUAAAGUAGUGUAUAAAAUUUUCUAUUUUCUAAAGUGUUUUAAAUUUUCAGAUGCUGGUGGGUGACGAUUCUUUAAUUCGGAAUCAUAAUGGUGUGGUUUUCAUAAGGAAUUAAGCGAAAUUUUAUCAAAAUAAGGUAAUUUUGUCCUGGGAAUACGCGAUCAAGUCUACCAUUUUAGAAUGGAUGUUGAUUCUCCUAUUGAGGAAAAUUCUAAGAAAAUUUGCGAUAAUUUGACAAACAGUCUUCCGGAAGGGCCGCUCCUAGGUUCUAUAACAACUAAUGCCUUAGAUAAAGAUGAUAAAGGAAUGCAAAUCAGAUCCAGUGCUAGAGUUUUUAAGAAAAUGAAGCUGGAGCAAGAACUUGAUAAAAAGAAUGAUGAAAAAUCUACAUUAGACUGCCCAUCCGGUUGCAUAAGUGGUGAAGCAAGUGUUGCUGUUCUUUCUCCAAAUGCAGAGCCGUCCCAUUCAAAUAGUUCCCCUGUUGAAAAACCACCUGAUCCUGAAAUUAAAGGACCUCAAAUCAGAUCUAGUACCAGGGUCAUCAAAAAAACCAAGCUAGAUUCUACCAUUGUGAGUGACACAAAGCCUAAGAAAGAUGAGGUAAAAGCUGAUAUCAAGAAAAUAGUAAGAACUAAUUGGAGUUAUGAAGAUAAAUUAAUGUUUUUUGAGGCUGUGAAUGAAUAUGGCAAAGAUUUUGAGAACAUCCUUCAAUAUAUUAAUACCAAACUCAAAAAGAGAGGUGCUACAGAUGAGCAAAUUAAGACAAAAGAUCAUGUAAGACAGUUCUACAACAGAACAUUUCAUGAAGUCUCAAAACAUGUGAAAUUUUCUGAUAGCGUUAAAAAGGUUGUUCAGGAACUGUAUGGCAUUAUAAAUUAUGGAGAGCUUCAUAAAAAAUUGGGAUCUAUUAGUGACAAGGCCUGUCUGAAAUUAACUGAACUUAUUUAUAGAGGGGCCACAGUAAUUAGGUCAAAGGGAAAAACCAUCAGAAUAAAGUCUCCAAUGUGUAGAGCUUUAAUAAAAAUCAGCCAGUUGGAUGAAAAUUAUGAAGAUGUAAAACUACCAAACAGAGUCAUAGUGGAAUUAAGGCCUAAAGAUAUGACAUCCUUUGUAAGAAUUCAAUCUAUGGCACAAAAUCCAAGACUUAAAACUACAUUGCCUUUACAAAAAAGGCUAAAUGCAUUAAUUCAAUGUUUAAGUAAAAGGUGGAAAACCAGAGAUGUAAUAGAAUAUGAAAAAUCAAUUGUAUCAUCAAAUCCAGUUACAAAUGACUGUGUACCAUCCCAGCAAGAAAUUGUAGACAAUUUAGCAUUGUUAUCACCAGCAUUAAGGUUAAGUCCUCCACCUGAAUCUAAAAUUGAUUUGCCACUGAUUAAUUUAAGUGAUUAUUUAACAAGACAAACUAUAUGUUUAACAGCAUACGAAAGACGUAUUGGUUUGGAUACAUUUAGUGAGAUUAAAAUUAUGUCCAAGAAGAAAAAGCAGAAAGUAGAGACAGAACAAAAAAUAGAUGUUCCAUUACAGGAUGUCAAGCCUGAUUUUAAGUGUGAAAUAAAAAAUGAAGAGACUGAAGCAAAUAGUUGUAAUGAAGCUGAUCCAGAUGUGACUUUGGCUGAUGUGGUUGAUGAUGCUAUAACUAGUAUUGUUUUGUUGCAACAAAGACUAGAUAGACAAACUUCUGAAACUAGUGAAACUGAUGAGCCUACCAAAUCUGAACUAAAAGAAGAAAUUAAGAGUGAAUUGAAAUCAGAAGUUAUAAAUAAAGAACAGCAAGAAAAAAUUGAAAAUAUAAGAAAAGGGUGGACUGAAAAAAACAGUUGUAGUCUUACAAUAGGAGAAUUAUACCUAAUGUAUGGAUCUGAUUCGACCUUAGUUUUGGAAUACAGUUGGGAUACUGAGGCAAAAACAGCAACAGAAAAACCAGUUACGUCUGAAGAACACUUUCUUGAUAAAUGGAAGGAAACAUAUCAAGAAACCUUAGAAAAUAAGAAGAAAAAUUUAACAACAGCUUUAACAAAACUGCUCUCUAUAGUAAAGCUACAACAUAGGAACAAUGUUAUGAAAUGCCAAUGUGGUCACAUAUGCGAUGGAAGAAUGGUCAUCAAAAAUGGGCCAACUGGCAGUUUUUCAAGGGGAAAAAGAGGAUCUAUUCUCGAAACUAACAUUCCAGAGAAUUUGUUGCCGUCAAAAAGCCAAAACACAGGGUUUGCCAGUAAACCAGUAUACGUCCAACCUAAGGACAGAACUCAACAAACACCGACCAUGAAACAGCAACUAGAUUCGAUACAGAAAUUAAAACCGAUAUUCUGUAAUCGUAAAGGCAGGCGGUUCAGAUCAAAACAGGUUGUAGUUGAGAGAAAGCUACCACUUUUGCCAAAUAAUCUGAGCGGGCAUCAAAUAGUCAGGAUGAACAUUAUAUCACAACAGCCUUCGCCUGCAGCAGCGACUACAGAAUCUCAAAUCAGCAUUCAAGAUGAUCUCCAGAUUCAGAAAGUGAUCGAUAAUCCGGAAGAUGAGAAUAGUGUCAUAUCCACGGUACCCUCGAGCCCAUCAAGGCUUCUAAAGGAAGGCGAAAGUGAAUGGAUCAACGCGGAAGUGGCCGAUUAUUCUCUAAGCAGCCUUUUAGGGCACUUGGAGAGCCCGAUAAAGAAUCCCAUAACGACAUCUAUGGCCGCUAACCUACCUUCGGAUUUGUCCAACGAAGUCGAUGCACAGCUGCAUUCUUUAUUGACGGAAAACAGCGUUGAUUUUGCUGCUAAUUUUGCUGAUUUAGCGGCCAGCGUUGUUAACGAUAAGAAGUAUUAAUCGUACUUUUUUUUGGUACAAUUUUAUAUUCUUAACACACCAGUAGUAACUUCUACUUUGUCGAUAGGAUAUAAAAAUAUAAGCUCGUAGCAUUUAUAGAUAGUGGAACAUGAAGUAGGUGUCCUCAUAUAGCUCUUCCUCCACAAUAUAGUACUCAUAGAAUAAGGAGUUAAAAAUCAGUCUUUCUGUAAGUUCUUUUCAAUUCCACAUUGAUCAUUUUACACACACAGUUGUCAUCGCCGUCAUUUAGUUGGGAGAAUGUCAUCGAUCGGCAUUCCCAAGCCAAUUGCCGCCGUUUUAUUUUCCAUCAUAAUGUACUUAAUAUUUUAUCCUUUUAAUAGGUUUUUGAUGUUUUGAAAAUUAUACUUGCCUCGUAACCUUCAUA